rnacentral:rRNA from 1 species
AUUGAACGCUGACGGCAUGCUUUACACAUGCAAGUCGAACGGCAGCAUAGGUGCUUGCACCUGAUGGCGAGUGGCGAACGGGUGAGUAAUAUAUCGGAACAUGUCCGGAAGUGGGGGAUAACGUAGCGAAAGUUAUGCUAAUACCGCAUAUGCCCUGAGGGGGAAAGGGGGGGAUCGCAAGACCUCUCGCUUUCCGAGUGGUCGAUAUCGGAUUAGCUAGUAGGUGAGGUAAAGGCUCACCUAGUCGACGAUCCGUAGCUGGUCUGGGAGGACGACCAGCCACACUGGGACUGAGACACGGCCCAGACUCCUACGGGAGGCAGCAGUGGGGAAUUUUGGACAAUGGGCGCAAGCCUGAUCCAGCCAUGCCGCGUGAGUGAAGAAGGCCUUCGGGUUGUAAAGCUCUUUCAGCCGGAAAGAAAUCGUACUUAUUAAUACUAAGUGCGGAUGACGGUACCGGAAGAAGAAGCACCGGCUAACUACGUGCCAGCCGCCGCGGUAA